rnacentral:rRNA from 1 species
UGGGGAAUAUUGCACAAUGGGCGCAAGCCUGAUGCAGCCAUGCCGCGUGUAUGAAGAAGGCCUUCGGGUUGUAGAGUACUUUCAGCGGGGAGGAAGGGAGUAAAGUUAAUACCUUUGCUCAUUGACGUUACCCGCAGAAGAAGCACCGGCUAACUCCGUGCCAGCAGCCGCGGUAAUACGGAGGGUGCAAGCGUUAAUCGGAAUUACUGGGCGUAAAGCGCACGCAGGCGGUUUGUUAAGUCAGAUGUGAAAUCCCCGGGCUCAACCUGGGAACUGCAUCUGAUACUGGCAAGCUUGAGUCUCGUAGAGGGGGGUAGAAUUCCAGGUGUAGCGGUGAAAUGCGUAGAGAUCUGGAGGAAUACCGGUGGCGAAGGCGGCCCCCUGGACGAAGACUGACGCUCAGGUGCGAAAGCGUGGGGAGCAAACA